UCAGGGGGAAGGUGUAGCUUUGUGUACACUACAUACCCUCAACACAGGGGGAAGGUGUAACUUUGUGUACACUACAUACACUCAACACAGGGGGAAGGUGUAACUUUGUGUACACUACAUACCCUCAACACAGGGGGAAGGUGUAACUUUGUGUACACUACAUACACUCAACACAGGGGGAAGGUGUAGCUUUGUGUACACUACAUACACUCAACACAGGGGGAAGGUGUAACUUUGUGUACACUACAUACCCUCAACACAGGGGGAAGGUGUAGCUUUGUGUACACUACAUACACUCAACACAGGGGGAAGGUGUAACUUUGUGUACACUACAUACACUCAACACAGGGGGAAGGUGUAACUUUGUGUACACUACAUACACUCAACACAGGGGGAAGGUGUAACUUUGUGUACACUACAUACACUCAACACAGGGGGAAGGUGUAGCUUUGUGUACACUACAUACACUCAACACAGGGGGAAGGUGUAACUUUGUGUACACUACAUACACUCAACACAGGGGGUAGGUGUAACUUUGUGUACACUACAUACACUCAACACAGGGGGAAGGUGUAACUUUGUGUACACUACAUACACUCAACACAGGGGGAAGGUGUAACUUUGUGUACACUACAUACACUCAACACAGGGGGAAGGUGUAACUUUGUGUACACUACAUACACUCAACACAGGGGGAAGGUGUAACUUUGUGUACACUACAUACACUCAACACAGGGGGUAGGUGUA